AAAAAAUCCUGAAACGUGAAAAUUGGCGACAGGCGCACGGUGUCUAAAUCUAGGUGUCCACCAAUACUUCCACCUCCCGCCUCCUUCAGUGUCGUGAGUUCCUCCAUUACCAGAUGAAAUUGAUUUUCUUUUUUCUCAAAAUUUUAUUUUUUAGAUUCUAUCAAAAUCGAUUUCUUUCUUCACAAAAAUUGAUUUGUUGAAAUCGAUUUUAUUGCUUCUUUUCUCAUCUGUGAAAUCCAUUGAUUAUUUGAAAUCGACGUUGAAGGAUUCAGAAUCGGAAGUCACAGGUUAAUCAAAUCGUUAAGAGUUUCAGUCUCAAUAUUGAAAUCGAUUUGGAAGUUCUGGAAUCGGAAUUUGAAAACGGUAAUCAUUCAGAAGCAAAAACGAAACUGAAAUUGGAAUCGGAGCUUGCAAGCAUUCGGUGAUGUAGGCUCGUAUGUUACAACCGAUUCACAUUCAGAGUUUUGGAAUCAGAACUUAAAAUCCUUCGAAUCAAAAUCGGAGAUAUGCGUUUGGUGUUCAAGGCUCGGGUUUUUCGUCUCACAAUCAAUUUUUGAAUCUCAAAAUUGAAAUCGCUUUGAAAUUCAUAAACGAUUCGAAAGCAGAACAAUCUCAUCGAAUCGUUCAGAAUUUGGAUGUCAUCGGAACGCUGGGCAGUGUUGAUUCGAUGGCAAACUUGAUUUUGACUUUUACAAGUCAACUACGUGUUUUAUCAGAUUAAAUGAAGAAGAUGACUUCAUUUACAAUUUCAGCCCUCGGAAGUUACAAAGAUUGACAGAAUUAUCCCUGUUUCUAAAUCCUUUACUAAUCCAUGGUUUUAACCAUUCAGGGCAUCUCAUGUUUACAAUCAACGCCAACAACCAGAUUUUGAUCAGAACCGACAGUUCCGAACGCAAGGAUAUCUACCACAAUGUUAUGGACAAUUUUGGCGACUUAUCUACUCUAAUAAAUGAAGGACUAUGGUAAAUGAGAGGAAGCAAAACCAGGACCUCCAGCUGGAUGCGGAAUGGCUGGAAGAAUGCAUUGAAGACCUAAUAGGAAUAACUUGAAGAAUGAAUAACAUUUGAUCAUACUCACAAUUUUAGAAUGUUGUUAUUUUUUUAGAAUUUUAUUCAGUUUUGUUGAUAUUCUUUUAGAAUAUGUAUACUUAUAUUAAAAUGUAUAAGGCUUUUAAUCUGUAAGAAUA